rnacentral:rRNA from 1 species
CAGUCGCCACGGUAAUACGUAGGGUGCAAGCGUUAAUCGGAAUUACUGGGCGUAAAGCGUGUGCAGGCGGUUCGGAAAGAAAGAUGUGAAAUCCCAGGGCUCAACCUUGGAACUGCAUUUUUAACUACCGGACUAGAGUAUGUCAGAGGGAGGUGGAAUUCCGCGUGUAGCAGUGAAAUGCGCAGAUAUGUGGAGGAACACCGGUGGCGAAGGCAGCCUCCUGGGAUAAUACUGACGCUCAUGCACGAAAGCGUGGGGAGCAAACAGGAUUAGAGACCCCAGUAGUCCCUGUCUCUUAUAC